GAUGAACGCUGGCGGCGUGCCUAAUACAUGCAAGUCGAGCGAACGGACGAGAAGCUUGCGUCUCUGAUGUUAGCGGCGGACGGGUGAGUAACACGUGGAUAACCUACCUAUAAGACUGGGAUAACUUCGGGAAACCGGAGCUAAUACCGGAUAAUAUUUUGAACCGCAGGGUUCAAAAGUGAAAGACGGUUUUGCUGUCACUUUUAGCUGGAUCCGCGCUGCCUUAGCUAGUUGGUAAGGUAACGGCUUACCAAGGCAACGAUGCAUAGCCGACCUGAGAGGGUGAUCGGCCACACUGGAACUGAGACACGGUCCAGACUCCUACGGGAGGCAGCAGUAGGGAAACUUCCGCAAUGGGCGAAAGCCUGACUGAGCAAAGCCGCGUGAGUGAUGAAGGUCUUCGGAUCGUAAAACUCUGUUAUUAGGGAAGAAAAUAUGUGUAAGUAACUGUGCACAGCUUGGCGGUACCUAAUCAGAAAGCCACGGCCAACUUCGUGC
rnacentral:rRNA from 1 species